UACGAAGGGGGCUAGCGUUGCUCGGAAUCACUGGGCGUAAAGGGUGCGUAGGCGGGUUUUUAAGUCAGAGGUGAAAUCCUGGAGCUCAACCCCAGAACUGCCUUUGAUACUGAAAGUCUUGAGUAUGGGAGAGGUGAGUGGAACUGCGAGUGUAGAGGUGAAAUUCGUAGAUAUUCGCAAGAACACCAGUGGCGAAGGCGGCUCACUGGCCCAUUACUGACGCUGAGGCACGAAAGCGUGGGGAGCAAACAGGGAUU
rnacentral:rRNA from 1 species